rnacentral:rRNA from 1 species
UGGGGGAUAUUGCACAAUGGGGGGGAACCCUGAUGCAGCGACGCCGCGUGGGUGAAGGAGCGUUUCGGCGCGUAAAGCCCUAUCGGCAGGGAAGAAGGAGGACGGUACCUGACUAAGAAGCCCCGGCUAACUACGUGCC